rnacentral:rRNA from 1 species
GACGAACGCUGGCGGCGUGCCUAACACAUGCAAGUCGAGCGAACAGACGAGGAGUUUGCUCCUCUGACGUUAGCGGCGGACGGGUGAGUCACACGUGGAUAACCUACCUAUCAGACUGGGAUAAUUUCGGGAAACCGGCGCUAAUACCGGAUGAUAUAUUGCACCGCAUGGUUCAAUAGUGAAAGUCGGUUUUGCUGUCACUUAUAGCUGGAUCCGCGCCGCAUUAGCUAGUUGGUAAGGUAACGGCUUACCAAGGCAACGAUGCGUAGCCGACCUGAGGGCGGGGUCGGCGACACUGGAGCUGAGACGCGGUCCAGACUCCUACGGGAGGCAGCAGUAGGGAAUCUGACGCAAUGGGCGAGAGCCUGACGGAGCAAGGCGGCGUGAGUGAUGAAGGUGUUCGGAUCGGAAAGCUCUGUUAGUAGGGGAGAACAAAUGUGUAAGUAACCGUGCACGUCUUGACGGUACCGGGUCAAAAAGCCCCGGCUAACUACGUG